rnacentral:snoRNA from 1 species
AAGAUCAUACUUUUAGGGAUCAUUUCUAUAGUAUGUAUCGUUCUCUUACGACACACACUAGUGUCCCCACACCUAACCACGAUGAAGAGUCGUAGCGUUUCCCUCUGAGCGCGAAGCGGACUUCGAGUCGGUUAUCUUCUCGAUAACUCGCUCGUCGUCAUUGAUGACCGUUCCUCUUCUUCCUUUGCGAGGAAAAGGAGGAGGGAAACGCAUUCUGAGUGGU